AGUCCGGAGGAGCGGCGAAGGGCUCCCCUUCCCCAUUGGCUGCGCCCACGGAGCCGCCUUGCGAUUGGCCAUAAGCGCGGGUAGCGGGGGUCGCGAGAGGCGUCAGGAUCCCUGGCGCCCCUGAGCCAGCGGCUGCUGGGAGGCUGUGUCCGCAAGCCAGCGGGGCGAGGCGGCCGGGCCCUGCGCGUCAGGUCCUGGCCUGGGGCACCGGGGCUGCCAGCGUCGGAGGAGGCCUGAGAACUGGGAGGAAGCUGGAGAAAAGAAUACCCUCUGAAUCUUUGUGUUUGGCUGCCCAGGCUCGCCUUGACACCGAAUGGUUGAAAACAUAUACAGAUGGAGUCUUGCUCUUUUGCCCAGGCUGGAGUGCAGUGGUGCCAUCUCGGCUCACUGCAAGCUCUGCCUCCCGGGUUCAUGCCAUUGUCCUGCCUCAGCCUCCCGAGUAGCUGGAA